rnacentral:rRNA from 1 species
ACGCUGAAGCUCCAGCUUGCUGGGGUGGAUGAGUGGCGAACGGGUGAGUAACACGUGAGUAACCUUCCCUUGACUCUGGGAUAAGCCCGGGAAACUGGGUCUAAUACCGGAUACGACCUCCUGCCGCAUGGUAUGGGGGUGGAAAGAUUUAUCGGUCUUGGAUGGACUCGCGGCCUAUCAGCUUGUUGGUGAGGUAAUGGCUCACCAAGGCGACGACGGGUAGCCGGCCUGAGAGGGUGACCGGCCACACUGGGACUGAGACACGGCCCAGACUCCUACGGGAGGCAGCAGUGGGGAAUAUUGCACAAUGGGCGCAAGCCUGAUGCAGCGACGCCGCGUGAGGGAUGACGGCCUUCGGGUUGUAAACCUCUUUCAGUAGGGAAGAAGCGAAAGUGACGGUACCUGCAGAAGAAGCGCCGGCUAACUACGUGCCAGCAGCCGCGGUAAUACGUAGGGCGCGAGCGUUAUCCGGAAUUAUUGGGCGUAAAGAGCUCGUAGGCGGUUUGUCGCGUCUGCCGUGAAAGUCCGGGGCUUAACCCCGGAUCUGCGGUGGGUACGGGCAGACUAGAGUGCAGUAGGGGAGACUGGAAUUCCUGGUGUAGCGGUGAAAUGCGCAGAUAUCAGGAGGAACACCGAUGGCGAAGGCAGGUCUCUGGGCUGUUACUGACGCUGAGGAGCGAAAGCAUGGGGAGCGAACAGGAUUAGAUACCCUGGUAGUCCAUGCCGUAAACGUUGGGCACUAGGUGUGGGGGACAUUCCACGUUUUCCGCGCCGCAGCUAACGCAUUAAGUGCCCCGCCUGGGGAG